AAACAUUUCCUCUUAGAUAAAGAGGUAAGGCCUGCUCACUGAAUUUUAAAGAGCCGCAGUAUUCUAACUGUGCUAAGGUAGCAUAAUCAUUAGUCUUUUAAUUGAAGACUGGUAUGAAUGGCUUAACGAGAAAUUAACUUUUUUUGUUAUAAAAAUUGAAUUUAAUUUUUUAGUGAAAAAGCUAAAAUUGUUCAGAAAGACGAGAAGACCCUAUAGAGUUUUAUGUUUUAAAAAUAAAUUUUUAUUAGAUUUUGAAUUAUUAAUUUUUAUAAACAUUUUGUUGGGGCGACAUAAAGAUAAAUAAAACUCUUUAUAUUAAAAAUUUUUAUAAAAAUAUUCUUGAUCCUUUAUAAGAGAUUAUAAGAAAAAAUUACCUUAGGGAUAACAGCGUAAUCUUUUUUGAGAGUUCUAAUCGACAAAAAGGUUUGCGACCUCGAUGUUGGACUAAAAUUUAGGCAGGGUGCAGCAGUUCUGCUUUAAGGUCUGUUCGACCAAUAAAA
rnacentral:rRNA from 1 species